rnacentral:rRNA from 1 species
GACGAACGCUGGCGGCGUGCCUAAUACAUGCAAGUCGAGCGGAAGUUGGAGAGCUUGCUCUUCAGCUUUAGCGGCGGACGGGUGAGUAACACGUGGGCAACCUGCCCUGCAGAUCGGGAUAACUCCGGGAAACCGGUGCUAAUACCGAAUAGUUUUCGCCACCUCCUGGUGGCGUACGGAAAGACGGUUUCGGCUGUCACUGCAGGACGGGCCCGCGGCGCAUUAGCUAGUUGGUGGGGUAACGGCCCACCAAGGCGACGAUGCGUAGCCGACCUGAGAGGGUGAUCGGCCACACUGGGACUGAGACACGGCCCAGACUCCUACGGGAGGCAGCAGUAGGGAAUCUUCCGCAAUGGACGAAAGUCUGACGGAGCAACGCCGCGUGAGUGACGAAGGUUUUCGGAUCGUAAAACUCUGUUGUGAGGGAAGAACAAGUACCAACUAACUACUGGUACCUUGACGGUACCUCACCAGAAAGCCACGGCUAACUACGUGCCAGCCGCCGCAGUAA